rnacentral:rRNA from 1 species
CGUAUCCAACCUUCCCAUAACUAAGGGAUAACCUGCCGAAAGGCAGACCAAUACCUUAUGGUCUUCACUGACGGCAUCAGAUGUGAAGUAAAGAUUUAUCGGUUAUGGAUGGGGAUGCGUCUGAUUAGCUUGUUGGCGGGGUAACGGCCCACCAAGGCAACGAUCAGUAGGAGUUCUGAGAGGAAGGUCCCCCACAUUGGAACUGAGACACGGUCCAAACUCCUACGGGAGGCAGCAGUGAGGAAUAUUGGUCAAUGGGCGAGAGCCUGAACCAGCCAAGUAGCGUGCAGGAUGACGGCCCUAUGGGUUGUAAACUGCUUUUGUAUGGGGAUAAAGUCAAUCACGUGUGAUUGUUUGCAGGUACCAUACGAAUAAGGACCGGCUAAUUCCGUGCCAGCAGCCGCGGUAAUACGGAAGGUCCGGGCGUUAUCCGGAUUUAUUGGAUUUAAAGGGAGCGUAGGCUGGAGAUUAAGUGUGUUGUGAAAUGUAGACGCUCAACGUCUGACUUGCAGCGCAUACUGGUUUCCUUGAGUACGCACAACGUUGGCGGAAUUCGUCGUGUAGCGGUGAAAUGCUUAGAUAUGACGAAGAACUCCGAUUGCGAAGGCAGCUGACGGGAGCGCAACUGACGCUGAAGCUCGAAGGUGCGGGUAUCGAACAGGAUUAGAUACCCUGGUAGUCCGCACAGUAAACGAUGGAUGCCCGCUGUUGGUACUUGGUAUCAGCG